AACUAACGCUGGCGGCGUGCCUAACACAUGCAAGUCGUACGAGAAAGUUGGCUUCGGCCGAUGAGUACAGUGGCGCACGGGUGAGUAACGCGUGGAUAAUCUGCCCUUAAGUGUGGAAUAACGUACCGAAAGGUGCGCUAAUACCGCAUAAUGCCUGGCAACAUAAGUUGUCCGGCCAAAGAAGGCCUCUGCUUGCAAGCUUUCGCUAAAGGAUGAGUCCGCGUACCAUUAGCUAGUUGGUGGGGUAACGGCCUACCAAGGCGACGAUGGUUAGCUGGUCUGAGAGGAUGAUCAGCCACACUGGAACUGAGACACGGUCCAGACUCCUACGGGAGGCAGCAGUGAGGAAUAUUGCGCAAUGGGGGCAACCCUGACGCAGCAACGCCGCGUGAGUGAGGAAGGUUUUCGGACUGUAAAGCUCUGUCGAGCGGGAAGAAGUGUACCAUGGCUAAUAUCCAUGAUAUUUGACGGUACCGCUAGA
rnacentral:rRNA from 1 species